GGGCGAGUCAUAACACAGUUAAGACAGGAGGGGGAAAGAGAUACUGCGAUUCUACAAUGAUGUUUCCCAAAAUGCCACCUCUCUCUAGCCGGCAGGCCCAAGAAAUAAAACUAAGGAAUUAAGGGUCAGACGUGUGCUGUCAGAAUUCGAACAGCGCUCUUCCCACUACACAACCCUGCUAACUUCUCAAGCUACGUCAGUACCGCCCUUGCUCUACAGAGCUUCACACAUCCCCUACUGUUUGAAGAUGGUACACUGUAGUCCUCCCUGCAAACACAACAGCCUUUGGCCUAAACUAAGAAGAAGACGUCUUGCUUCUCAGAUUCCGGCAAGAUCUGGAUCAUGCCUGCACGGGAAGCAACGUGGGCAAGCAUGGCACCCCGAGGCCCAGAACCCGAAGUAGUAAGAGAAUUCAUCAGACUCCAGUCUUCUCCCAACUGGACCUAAGAGAUGGAUGACACCUCCAGAUUCUACUCAUCUUUAACAUUCUGUACUGUCAAGCUUGUCUCCUAAAGGAUGAAGAGGACAAAGCUGGCCAAUAAAUGAGGACCAAGUGUUCACAUACAUUCAGCACGGCUGACGAGUUCGUCAGUGAAGCAUUUCAUGGGGACGACCUGGAGAGCUGAGACAGCAGGUAAGAAUGUUCUGAAUGUGUUAUUCUGUCCAACGAGUCUCUUAGAUCUUCCAAAUCUCUCUUUUGAUACUGAUACUAAAUUCAUUAGCAAAACAAGGUACAACAUGCUGACUACCUAGAUCCUGGAGCCAGACAUGUUUCCUUUCAGAUGCUAAGAGUCAAUGCAGGUGAUAUGAAGUGUAUCCCAUACUCAGGAGUCAUACAGCCUGAGACUAAAACUCCAGCUGUGACACUGACAGCUGGGAAGGGUGCAUCUUCACUGAGCCUUACGGAAGAGCUCCUCCAUUUGCUACAGAUGUGAUGCCGCACACUUCAGAAGGUCAGUGAGAGUGUUUUGUCCUGUGUAAAAUGCAUGGUGGAUGGUGGGGCCCCGUGGGUGAAAUGCUAGCCGUUCCAAUGCUCUCUGGAUAAAGUGUAGACUUCUUCCCAGGAGUGUGUAAGCUUCAGAUGCUCUGGAUUGCCUCUUCUCCUGAUCUUGCACCAUUUCCCUCUUGACUCACUCAUUUCCAGCCAUACACACCUUCUCUAGCUGCACCCCUUACCUGCGGUCUUCCUUGUGGAGAUCAGAAAAACUCCUCCCUCUGGGCACUGCCCACUUCAGUCCUGAGUUCUUGCACCCUAUUUAUUUGGAUGUUAUUUCUUCAGAACAGACCUCCUGGGUCACUAUAAUCUACAGCAGGUCCCUCUGCUAGACUUUGGGUGUGUAUAUGUUCAUAUGUACAGGUGUGUGCUGAUAAAUAUAUGCCAGAGUCAACUUGAGUAUCAUUUAUCAGGCACUCUCCCCCCCUGCUGUCCAUUCCCCCUCUCUUUUUGGAGGCAGGGUCUCUUACUGACCAAUGGCUCUUCAAGUAGACCAAGAAAGUCCAGUCAUCUGCCUAACUCUGCCUUCCCAGCACUGGGAUUAGAGUGCAUGACACUACACCUGAAUUUUUUAUGUGGGUUCUGGAAGGUGCAGUGGGUCCUUGCACUUGCAUGACAAAUGCUUUACCAACUGAACUAUCUCCUUAGCCCUACCCACUUGUUUUAGGUACUGGCUAGAAUUUGUAAUUAAAUCCAUAUGGAUCCGAUUAGUGUGUGUCUCCCCCAUCUGGACCCUAAGCAGUAAUCAUGAUACUUUUGGCCACCACUGGACAUUUAGUACCUAACGGAGGAACCUAGUAAAUAGGAAGCACUCCCAACAUUUUUAUUGCUGAGAGCAGAGAGAACAUGCCAACCCUGAUCCAGGGUACCAUCCACUCAAGGUCCAGGCUGGCUGCCUGAGCUCUCCCUGUUCAG